rnacentral:rRNA from 1 species
GAUGAACGCUAGCGGGAGGCUUAACACAUGCAAGUCGAGGGGCAGCAUAAUGUAGCAAUACGUUGAUGGCGACCGGCGCACGGGUGAGUAACACGUAUGUAACCUACCCUGUACAGGGGGAUAGCCCGGAGAAAUUCGGACUAAUAUCCCAUAAAGAUAUUGAAAGGCAUCUUUUAAUAUUUAAAGCUCAGGCGGUACGGGCUGGGCAUGCGGAACAUUAGCUAGUUGGCAGGGUAACGGCCUACCAAGGCAAUGAUGUUUAGGGGACCUGAGAGGGUGACCCCCCACACUGGUACUGAGACACGGACCAGACUCCUACGGGUGGCUG